rnacentral:rRNA from 1 species
GGCCRGCGGUGGAKACUGGUAUGCUAGAGGAUGGAAGAGAGAAGUGGAAUUCUUGGAGUAGCGGUAAAAUGCGUAGAUCUCAAGAGGAACACCGAUGGCGAAGGCAGCUUCUUGGUUYAUUCCUGACGCUCAUGCRCGAAAGCGUGGGGAGCAAACAGGAUUAGAUACCCUGGUAGUCCACGCCGUAAACUAUGAUCACUAGAYGUUAGUUCUGCUUUGCUGGAUUGGUGUCGAAGCUAACGCGUUAAGUGAUCCGCCUGGGGACUACGGUCGCAAGAUUA